rnacentral:rRNA from 1 species
AUGAUGGAGAUGUCGCUGAUGGAGGCGAUGGUGAGCGGCGGCACCGGGGAGUCGAUCCUGACGUCGAUGAAGUUUGCCGUGCUGCCGAUCGCCAAGGUGUUCACAUUGUGCUUCAUGGGCUUCCUCAUGGCCACCAGGUACAUCGGCAUCCUCGACGCCAACGGCCGCAAGCUUCUCAACGGGCUAGUGUUUUCCCUACUACUUCCAUGCCUUAUAUUCACUCAGCUUGGACGAGCAAUUACAGUGCAGAAAGUGUUAGACUGGUGGUACAUUCCUUUAAAUAUUGUUGUGGGGACAGUGUCUGGUUCUCUAGUAGGCCUUCUUGUGGCGUUGAUUGUGCAGCCGCCACAUCCAUAUUUCAAGUUCACCGUUGUCCACAUCGCUAUAGGUAACAAUGGAAACAUGCCUCUCGUCCUGAUCGCCGCUCUCUGUCGAGACCCAUCGAACCCGUUUGGGGAUCCUGAGAAAUGCAAGCAGGACGGCAACGCCUACGUCUCUUUUGGGCAAUGGGUCGGGGCGAUUAUCUUGUACAGCUACGUGUUUCAGAUGCUUGCGCCGCCGCCUGGUGAAACCUUCGAUGGAAGCAGAGUGGAGAAUCCCCCUCCCCCAGCCCUGGCUGCUGCACCUGCACCUGAACAAGUUCGCCUGCUAACCUCGCGUGCAUCUGAACAAGCUCCCAAGUGCUCAAAAGCACUGGAAAUUCUGCACAUCUUUGUUGAGAAAUUUAAGCUGAAGCGAGUGUUUCAACCACCGGUGAUUGCAUCGGCACUGGGGAUUUCCAUUGGAGCAACGCCAUCCCUGAAGCACUUGGUCCUGACUAACCACGCCCCGUUAUUCUUCUUUACCGAUGCCUGCAUCAUUCUUGGGGGGGCAAUGAUCCCAUGCAUCUUGCUCCCCUCGGAGGCAAUCUCCAAGAAGCUGGGACUGAGGACGACGGCGGCGAUCAUCAUCGGGCGGCUGGUGCUGGUCCCACCGGCGGGGAUGUGCAUGGUGGCCCUGGCGGACAGGCUGGGGUUCAUCCCGAGGGGUGACACCAUGUUCAAGUUCGUCCUCCUCCUGCAGCACUCCAUGCCUACCUCGGUGCUCUCCGGGGCCGUCGCCAAUCUGCGCGGGUGCGGGGAGGAGUCGGCGGCGGUGCUCUUCUGGAUGUACGUUUGCGCCGUCUUCUCCGUCGCCGGGUGGAUGGUGCUCUACAUCAGGAUGCUCUUCUGA